UACGUAGGGUGCGAGCGUUGUCCGGAAUUAUUGGGCGUAAAGAGCUCGUAGGCGGCUUGUCACGUCGGUUGUGAAAGCCCGGGGCUUAACCCCGGGUCUGCAGUCGAUACGGGCAGGCUAGAGUUCGGUAGGGGAGAUCGGAAUUCCUGGUGUAGCGGUGAAAUGCGUAGAUAUCUGGAGGAACACCGGUGGCGAAGGCGGCAUUCUGGACCGAAACUGACACUGAGGCGCGAAAGCCAGGGGAGCAAACGGG
rnacentral:rRNA from 1 species